rnacentral:rRNA from 1 species
AUUGAACGCUGGCGGAAUGCUUUACACAUGCAAGUCGAACGGCAGCACGGGGCAACCUGGUGGCGAGUGGCGAACGGGUGAGUAAUAUAUCGGAACGUGCCCAAUCGUGGGGGAUAACGUAGCGAAAGUUACGCUAAUACCGCAUACGAUCUACGGAUGAAAGCGGGGGAUCGCAAGACCUCGCGCGAAUGGAGCGGCCGAUAUCAGAUUAGGUAGUUGGUGGGAUAAAGGCUCACCAAGCCAACGAUCUGUAGCUGGUCUGAGAGGACGACCAGCCACACUGGAACUGAGACACGGUCCAGACUCCUACGGGAGGCAGCAGUGGGGAAUUUGGACAAUGGGCGCAAGCCUGAUCCAGCCAUUCCGCGUGCAGGAUG